CUCCGGAGGUAGCGGCGGCGGUGAGGAGAGCCAUGGCACAGGCAGCCAAGGUUUUGCAGCUCUUUAAAACACUGCACAGAACCAGACAACAAGUUUUUAAGAAUGAUGUCAGAGCAUUAGAAGCAGCCAGAAUAAAGAUAAAUGAAGAAUUCAAAAAUAAUAAAAGUGAAACUUCUCCUAAGAAAAUAGAAGAGCUAAUGAAAAUAGGUUCUGAUGUUGAAUUAUUACUCAGAACAUCUGUUAUACAAGGUAUUCACACAGACCACAAUACACUGAAACUGGUCCCUAGGAAAGACCUUCUUGCAGAAAAUGUGCCAUACUGUGAUGCACCAACUCAGAAGCAAUGAGUUUUCUAGAAUACAACAAGUCUUUGCACUUUUUCACUUUAAAAUCUACAACUCUGGCAAAAGUCCUGGAAAUGCAGACAUUUUUCUCUGAACUGACAUAUUGAAAAUGAAUGAAUUACAGAAUAGCUUCAUAUUUAAAUUUCAUGUUAAAAGGUCAUUACUGAGAACUAAAGAACAUAAUUAAGUAUUUCUAAAGGAAAUUAGAUAAGAAAACAUUUCAUUCAUUGAAAAUCAAAUUUCAUAAAGGAAAAUAAAUGCUUAGGGACAUAUAUUCACUCUUUGACCUUGAUGAGUAUUUGGUCUUACCAUAGCUAUUUGAGAAUGUGGUGCUUUUACAAAUUGGUGAGUUUUCCUGCCAUGUGAAAUGCAAUUAUUACAUUUAAAUUAUUAGAUUAAAAUGAUAUUUAGUCCUAAAAAAUAUUAAAUUAGUCA